CCCUCAAAGGAAAACGAUAGUCAAAUCCAACCAAUUCUGGACAAAUUGAUGUGUGUAAAUCUGCUACCCAAUCAGAGCACCACCGAGAAAAUUGAAGUCUUCCAGAAUCUGCUACCCGGCUAGAGCACCACCAACAAAAUCAAAGACUACAGAACAACUCUACUAUCCGACUAGAGCACCACCAACAAAAUCAAAGAUUGUCGGCUCUGUGAUGCUAGAAAAAUAUAAAAAACGCCAAAACUCCGAUGUGACUGCAUCUCAAUGCCAGAUGAAGUCAGCAAAGGUCUUCUGAGCUGCCUCUCACCUGAAUCAGGUUCGUAAAUAUUAUGAAUUAAUUAAUUCAUUUAUCAGAAUAAAAGCUGCAUAGAUAGAUGACUAGCAAUUUCAGAAUCCUUUCACAGCCAAAAAAACUAUGGUGUUGAAGAAGCUUAUUGCUUACGAACAACAGGACAAACUAUAACAUUCAAGUGAAUGUAUAGAGAAUGUGGGAUUACCUCAAUCAUACAACAGAUCAACAAUUUAAAACAAGCAAAUGCUAAUUAUAUUUUGUUUUCAUUGACAUGGCAAAACAGUUCAUGUUACUAUGAACAUUAAAAGUAUCAUGCUAUCAUCUGGAGGAAUUUGAUACACUUAUAUUGGUGAAAGAAAAUGAUAAUUAUAUUUAUGCAUAUAACACUUUUUUAUGUGUAUGCAUAUAAUACUUUUAAAAAGGUCAAAGUAAUUCAUGUGCACACCUAAGUAAUUCAAUCCACUAGGAAAUAAUCAUUCAUGUACAGACAUAUUUCAGUAUGGGCACAUACAAAGCUAAGUCCUCUAUACAAAUUAGAAAAACAUGGGCAUGUCCUUUUGAGAAAAAGAGAUACGCCUAAGUAAUUCAAUCUACUAGGAGUACAAAAUCAGAUCAUCUAGACAAUUUAAAAAUAAUGGGCAGGUCCUUCGGAGAAAAACAAAAGGCCCGCCAAAAUCAUUCAUUUUACUGGGAAAUAUACUAAAAAGUCUAGCCGCCAAACACAUCCCAUGUGUACAUCAGUACAUGCAUGCACUUGCAUCUAAUUCUAAUGGACAGACAUGUGGACUUAACGGCCAGAAAAAUAGACAUUGAUAUGAGGCACAGUACAAAAAAACAAGCGCCAACCUAUCUAAACGCCGGAUAUAUUUGAGCCUCUACAAACUAUAAAUCCAAAAUAAAUCAUUUAUGGUAAAAUCUAUAUAUCGAUUGAUCAAGAUUUCGAGUCAUGCAAGAUAAAUAUAAAUAGCUUCUAUUAUUUAUCCAAAUGAAUCGUGACUCAUGUUUAUUCACCAAUAUUACAUAACAAUUUUACUUGACUAACUCCAUAUAUGCAGGAGAAGAAAGUUUACCAAAAUUGAUCGAGAUGGAUAGCAAUAAACAAGGAGCGUAGAAAUAUUUUACAGAAGGAUAACAUUACAACUUACUGGAAUGAGGCACAAAAACCAGACACAUCAGGUGAUGGAUCAAACUUCUUCUAAGAUAUGAUAUCACCACUUCUUGAGGAAAACGACACUCUCAGACCUGCAGUGCUUUUCAGAUAAUUGAGUCAUAUCAGUUAUAAUGGAAUCAUAUCUGAAUUAUUUGUCUGUCAACUUCUUCGGGAUGCUAACUUUAAUUUUUUGGGUGAUUAUUUUAGGAUUUUGUUUUUCACAACAAUAGGUAUAAUAAUCUAUUACACGAAAAUAUUCAAAUGAUCAAAUUCCGGUUGACACAAACUAACUACGUACAAAGGGAAAUGGAAGGUGUUACUGCAAAAAUUGUGGUACAUAUCUACACCUGGUAAGCAUAUUCUGCUAAUUUGAUUGAGAACUUCCAUAUUAUAUUUACUCUGCACUAAUAACAGUGGUAUGUAAAAAUUGCUAAGCUUAUUGGAUGGCAAGAUCUGAUUAGCACCAAGCAAACCAUUUAUGUUUACUGAGAUAGAGAAAUAAUGCUUGACAUCGAUCAGUAUAAGGGGGACAGUUAUUAGAUAAGGGUCAAAAGUUAGCACUAUGAGAAGCAUGUCAAAUUGUAAUUAUUCGAAAUACAUUCAUACAUGCACUUUUGUGAGUUUAAUGUUCUUGGAAAUAACCCUUCUAUUCUACAGCCUUUUCGAUUGAAGAGAACAAUGAGAAAAGCUUUAGUAUUAGAGGCAUCUCCUACAACACAUGUGAAUUUGUCGAAAAACAACACAUGUGAAAAAUCUAAAAUCUAUUGCAUAUCAAUUAACAUAUAUGGGCCAAAUUCAGUUAAUACAUGCAAGCAUUCUUCCUUUGUCUUAAAUAGAGCUACUGUUAAUAUAAAUUGCUAAUAUAUGGUGGGGAAGACUACAAUAGAAACUGGCCAUAGGAUAGAAGAAUAGAAAAAUGAAGUUAGAGCCGUUGGAUCCUUAAUGGAUGCUUCAGAUUUGAAAUGUCCUUAAUGGAUCCUUAAUGGCAAGUCACAUAACUAUAAAUUAUAUCCUAGCUCUCAGCCAGUGCCACAAAUAGGAGAGCAACGCCACUCAGGGAAACGAAACCGCUUUGCCUCGCAGCCUUGCUGCUUUGGGGCGCAAAAUCCUUCUCUCCAACAGAAAAUUUCUACACUGGAAAAGACAGAGAAAGGUCAGGAGACCAUAAGCAUAAAAUCUUCAUAAAGAAUCCAUGCCAUUGCUGGAGGUUAGUAGACCAAGAUCUGGGAAGGAAGGAGAAGGAGAGGAAGAGGAGUGAUUACCUGGAGGAGUGCCACCGCUCAGGUUCAAGUGGACCCAAAUCCAUGUCCAUCAAAUCGACGACGGCAGCGAGCAGCAGGCACGUGUGGUCGAGCUAGACGACGUGCCGCCGCCGGGAGCUUGCAGGCUGCAGCCACCGCACUCUGCCCCAAAUCCCACUUCCCCCCGUCCUCUUUUCUUGGCAGGAUCUAGCAACGAAUUGUGGACGAAUCCUUAGAUUAGGUAAGGAACAGAGAGAAAGGAAUGGGAGAAGAAUGAGAAUGGGGAAAGGGAUGAAUGGUAGUAGGAGUAGGACAUAACGAAGUCUCACAUCGCGAAUUUCACGGGAGAGUGGAUUAAUAAGGAUGGGACACGUACAUCCCGUAGCCCACUUCCGUGAAACCAUCUCGUAAGCAUAAGAUUUUCGAUGGUAGUAGUACAGUCGUACAGGUGCAAAAUUCGAAACUGCUACGUAGACGAUGCAUGUGUGCACGACACUAGGACGACGGGCAGUCCAGCCGCUGAUAUACGCUGGAUAGUAUGCAUGGACGGCUUGAUAUGUGCUGUCGUGCACGAGUCGUCCGCACGGCUCGGGAUGUCUCACCGGCGUCGGAAUCCGGCGAUGAACUGCAACUUCUGUGGCGAGAUUGGAACGGCGAUAGCGGACAAUACGGUGGGUUUUGGUGAAGGGUUUCGAGGGGAAUUGGGAGAGGAGGUCCCAGGGUAUAUAUAGGACAUGGGGCUUGGGGAAGUGGUGUAUUCGGAGUAGGGCUCCUGAAGAAAUCGGACGCGGCGGCGGCGGCGUGCGUGAGCUAGAAAUCAUGUUCGGUUUCGUGCAGGGAAAGAAGAAGAUGGGGCAGGGCCCAACGCCAGGUGUGAGAGAAAUAACGAUAGAGAGAGGGGGAUCCAGGCGGGCGAGCGAGCGUGGGAUGCUAGGUCCCCUUUUUUUUUAUGUGGGGUGCUGCUGCUGCUAGCGCUGGCAGGCGCUCGGCCUUACUAGCGGCUGGCGCCGGCUGGGCCUUCGGCGCCUAGCCUGGCCGCUGCUGGCUGGCCAGUUGGCGCCUAGCCUGGCGGGCGGUGGGUUUUUUGUUUUUUUUUAUAAAAAUGUUUUCUGAUUUUUUACAGAAAUGUUAAAACACCCGAAAAUCAUAAAAAUAAUAUUCUAAAAAUUCCCAGAAAAUUCACACAAUUAUUUGGUCUUAUAUAUGACCUUUUGAACUUUUAUCUUGCCUAAAAUGCAAAUUUUAAUAAUAAAUAUUUUUGCUAUUCUAAUAAAAUUUGCAUCAAAAUAAAUUUCAAAUAAAACCCAAUAAAUAUAUUUUGAUUUCAAAUUCAAUUUCCAAUAUUUCCUUUCUGUUUUUGAAGAAGUCCUUUUAUCUUCUCUCUUUAUUUUAUUUUUGAAAUAACGAAAAUGAGUUUUGGUGAAACCAAAUUUGAUCCAACUUCCAAAUUUUGAAAUUUGAAAAGUGAAAUUUAGGCAAACUUCCAACUCUCUCUUUUGGUCCGUGAGUUGCUCAAAGUCUCUUGGAUAAAAAUGCAAAUAAAACAUAUGGAGGCAAAAUGCAUAUGAAUGAUCUAUUUAUAAACAUCCAAAUUGAAAAUUGAGAUGUUACAUGUCUUAAAAUUUCGGGAUAACAAGGCAUAGGUUGAAGAGACAGGAGUUUCGCAGCACAAUAGACAUAGAUGCUAUCUUGAAAUUUCGGCAUAACAAAGCGCGGCUUGAAAUUUCGGGAGAACAAGCUUAACAUGUACAAAAAAAGACAAUCCGCACCCCACUAGAGAGAGCCAUGUCCCGUUUUAAUAUAUUACUACAAAAUCCAUUCAAAAACAACAAUAAAAAACUAAAAAAUUGGAAGAACAAGCUUAACGUGUACAAUACCAAAUCAAUUUGCACUUCCUUCAACAAUAAAAAACAAUUUCUAUUUGUCCAGCAUAUGGACUAAAUUUGACUACAUUUUUCCUAUUUGAAUGGCAUUGUACUCGGGUUAUUAUACAACCAUCUAAAUAUUAUCUUCACAACACAUGACAUGAAUAUAGGAGUAGUAAAUUCCCAUAUAAAUAUGAACUACAUGUACAUACGAUCUCCAAUUCAAAUAUAUAUCCGUUUUAUGUUGAAUUCAAAUCAUAGUACAUGUAUGCUCUAGCUACAUGUUCAAAAUCUAAACCAUGUAUGAUACUAUGUACAAUGUGUUUAACACACACACACACACCAUUUAGAUAUGUACUGCGAAAGCCAACCAUCAUCUUUAGUUUGAACAGUGUGUCCAUGCAUGGAUGUAAUGUGGCCAAACGAUGCCUGCCAUCGGUAUUUCAAAUUCAAAUCAGUUUGAGCUUGUUCAAUGUGUAUAUAGUAUAGCAUGCUUGUUUCAAAACCACACCAUGCAUAUCUCAAUUAUAUUCAUGUAUGCAUGGGUUUCAAAUAUCAUGAUCUCUUAUUCAAAUAUUUGAAUUCAACUUUACAUUGAUUAUGACCUCACCAAGUCUUUUACACCCACACAGUCGUCUUCUUUUUAUAGUUGUACCACUAACUUUCUCUUGUGCAUGCAUGCACACACUACCCUCGGCAUUCCAUCGCACACAUGCAAUCUUUUUCUUCAGGUCGGUCUCCCAUGCAUGCAGACACACACACACACCUCCCCCUCUUCAUCACUUCGGGCAUUCUUUAUCUCUCAGAUGCAUGUGCAACGAUCGAUGUUCCUCUAUCUGUGUGUAUAUAUAGCUAAGUCUUUUCCAGUUUUCCACACAACCGAUCGAUCUAUAUCUCUAGUCAGGUCUCACCCUCUUUUCCACAUACACAUCGAUCAUUCUACCUCUCUAUAUAGGACUACAUAGCUAAUACAAACACAUUAUCUAUCCAUCAUCUCCCUCUCAUCAUCCAUGCCUUCCGCUUCAUCUCUCAGACGCACGCAUAGUGGCAAAGACAAGGGUAGCAAAGGCCCUGGCCCCCCUAACAUCACUAUAUUGAGGCUAAUAUGAAUGUGGUCAGUAGAUCAAUUGCUGGUAAAAUGGUUUAGUCUGAUGAAUUGGUCCUCCCCAUAAAGGAUUAGCAAUGCUUGGCAGCCCCCUAGCUCAUUCAAUUUUCAUGGCUCUGCCAUUGCGUGCAACCGCGCAUGUUCUCGCCCCUCUCUUUAAUUAUCGAUCUCGCACUUGUACACUCCUUCUCAGUCUCCCUCUACUUGGCCCCUUGCACCAUCUUCCAGCAACCCCAUAUCCCAGUGCUUGUACGCUCAUAGAGGUCUUCCCUCUAUCUAUCUCUAUCAAUAUCUUGCGCAGUCGACCCCUCCCCUCCCUUAUCGUAUAUCACCCCGGCCCCAAGCACAUACAUGUAUGUAUAUAGGCCUCUCUUUCACACAAAUUACAUUGACACAUAUUCCGUCACCAUAUCUCAGUAUCUCUCACACACACGGACUACGUGUACAAAAGAGAAGAGGUGCACACAUGCACCCAUUCCCACAUACAAACGCGCAGGUGGACGGUGGAGCACAUUUGUACAAAUAAUAUGCAUGUAGAAAGGCUUUAGAUGAUGUGCCACUAGUCUAUAUCUAUAUCUAUAGCCCUAUAUAGUGUGCAAAUAACUUUGAAAGAUGGUGGUUGGAUGAAGCCAAUCCGACGGUGCAGAGAUGGAAAAUCCGAGCACUACUGGUCGUUGGAUAUCAGCUACAUUCCACCAGAUUUUGCCACAUGUACAACCUAGAAGACUCCAUGGUCGAACUUAAGCAUAAUGCAUAAACCUCAAAACACGAGCACUUCUUUAUUCUAGAACCUUCAAUAUCAUAAUUGCCCAAACUUUUUUUCUAAAUGGGUUGUCAUUAUUUGUUUUUACUUUACAAUGCAUAAUCCCAUCAAUCUUAAAAUAGAUUAUUUUUUUAUAAAACUAAUUGAUUUUGAAUGAGAUGAACUAUAAGAAUUGAACGAACAUCUACAUCAUGCAUAUAUGACUCAAAGCUUACAUGCUAUAGUGUAUUAUUUAUUCAUAAUUUAAUUGCCAAAUCUCAUGCGUGCAAUACACGUGUACCUUACUAGUACUUCCAGUAUGUGCAAAACACACAAAUUAGAAUUUCAAUGGCACGCUACACAGUGUCUCUCCCUUUUUCAAUUAAUAUAUUAUGAUUAAAAUGAUGUGGGGGGCAUCUGUGAAGUCACGUGGCACGUGUGGAGGUGUUGUCGCGACCUUCUUAUGUGGAUUGAUCACAGUGACAUGCUGUUGGUUUUAGAAGAAUGUACUUUUCCUCUCUCAUGCACACUGGUGGAGUACGUGCAUGAAGCGAAGAUAUGCAUGCAUGCACUCAUUCCCUCGCACGCGCACGCGGGGACACGGUGCAAUGCAUUUUUGUACGAAGAUCCACCCCAAGUGAUAAUUUGACAUGUGUAAAGUUGUCCACUUAAUGGAUGGUCAAUUAAUGCAGCGCAUGCAAAUUGAGUGGACAUGAGGGAGGAAGUAGUUGAGAAUGACAUUACUACUCCACUGCGUGCAUGCGAGUAGUUAAAUCAUGGGUUGCUACUUCCAUUGGUCUCCUUCGUAUUUUAUGCCAAUUUUUGACCAUAAUUUGAAGUAACACAAUAUUAAUGCAUGUCAUAAAAAGUAAUAUUAUCAAAAACUAUGUUCAAAUGUGAAUCAAUGAUAUAAUUUUUGGUGGCAUGCAUUAACAUUUUCUUAGUUAAUUUUUUUGUCAAAAUUUUGCACAAAAUACAAAGGUGGCCAAUAAACCAGGACGCAGGCAACAUGAUUAAUUUUUGCUUGGGUGAAUGUUGGUGGCCUUUGUAUUUAAUUAUGGACGGAGUGGAGUAGUACUAUCUUUAUCUUAGCCUCGUAGGGCUCUCCCAGCGCCUAUGCUUGCCUCCCCGCCUCGCCCACUGGAUCCCGCCAUGGAUAAUCCCUUAGAUCCCAGCAUCCCGCGGGCUGCCCUCUCGCUGCGGCUGGCAGCAUUGCCGCCUUUGAGAGAAACCCGCAUGUGUUUGAGAGGGGAUCCAUUGCUACGGAAUCAUAGAUCGGUGGCGUCGGAGGACAUGCUAGGGAUGCGUUCCAGGUGGUGGGUAGCAAGGGCAAAUCAGAUCGAGGAAGCAUCGCAUCGAUUGGAGACAAGUUCAAAGGAGCUGCGCCUGGCGAAGCACAAGGCGGAGGCGCAAGUCAAUCUCAGGGGAGAGAUGCUGAGGGAUGUCAACAUCUGGCAGCAUCGCGUUGAUUUCGAGCUAGGGCUAACGGAAGAGAUCAUAUUCACGGAGUCAACUGUGAAGGAAAGAAAGCGGAUGCCUGUGAGAUGGGAUGAGCAGCUGGUGCAACUGUUCAAAUGGGUGGUAGGAGAAGCUAAAUCACGGAACCAGCUAUGGCGGCAGCGCUGGGCAUGCAUCGUAGGCGAGGUGAGCUGCCCUCCUUCCCCACCAGCGAUGCACUGACUGUUGGGGAUUGUAGUAAUAAUUCAAAAAAAUUCCUACGUGUCACCAAGAUCAAUCUAGGAGAUGCUAGCAACGAGAGAGAGGGAGUACAUCUUCAUACCCUUGAAGAUCACUAAGUGGAAGCGUUACAAGAAUGCGGUUGAUGGAGUCGUACUCGCGGCGAUUCAAAUCGCGGAAGAUCCAAUCUAAGCGCCGAAUGGACGAUGCCUCCGCGUUCAACACACAUACAACCCGGGGACGUAUCCUCCUUCUUGAUCCAGCAAGGGGAAAGGAGAAGUUGAGGGAAAGCUCUGAUAGCACGACGGCGUGGUGUUGGAGCUUGCGGUUCUCCGGCAGGGCUUCGCCAAACACUACGGAGGAGAAAGAGGUGUAGGAGGAGGGAGGGCUGCGCUAGGGGAAGGGGUGCGGCUGCCCUCCCACCCCCACUAUUUAUAGGGGGGAGAGAAGAGGGGGUCGGGCCCCCUAGAUGCAUCUAGAGGGGGGCGGCGCCAGGAGGGGAAACUUGCCCCCCAAGCAGGUGGGAGGCACCUCCUCCCCCUAGGGUUUCCAACCCUAGGCGCCUUGGGCCCUUGGGGGGCGCACCAGCCCACUAGGGGCCUGGUUCCCUCUGAUAUUCAGCCCAUUAAGUCCUCUGGGGCAGGUGGCCCCACCCGGUGGACCCCCGGACACCUUUCGGUGGUCCCGGUACAAUACCGAUAACCCCCGAAACCAUUCCGGUGACUACUGGACUUCCCAUAUAUAAAUCUUCACCUCCAGACCAUUCCGGAACUCCCCGUGGCGUCGCGGAUCUCAUCCGAGACUCGGAACAACCUUCGGUAACCACAUACAAUUUCCUAUAACAACUCUAGCGUCACCAAACCUUAAGUGUGUAGACCCUAUGGGUUCGGGAACCAUGCAGACAUGACCGAGACAUCUCUCUCCAGCCAAUAACCAACAGCGGGAUCUGGAUACCCAUGUUGGCUCCCACAUGUUCCACGAUGAUAUCAUCUGAUGAACCAUUAUGUCGGGGAUUCAAUCAAUCCUGUAUGCAAUUCCCUUUGUCCAUCGGUAUGUUACUUGCCCGAUAUUCGAUUGUCGGUAUCCCCAUACCUCGUUCAAUCUCGUUACUGGCAAGUCUCUUUACUUGUUUCGUAACGCAUGAUCCCGUGGCUAACUCCUUAGUCACAUUGAGCUCAUUAUGAUGAUGCAUUACCGAUGUCGGCGUUCUGGGAACGGGGGUCCCCAGACUUGCCUGCCUGCGGCCUGCAGCGUGGCUCCACCAGCGGCCCUGUACGGCCCAUCUUCACCAGCAAACACUCAAGACCCUUGCAAGGGGCCGAGCCUCGCGAGGCGGACGACACAAGACCUCCUCAAGGGCGGCCUCACCAGGCUGGCUCACGAGGGGCGGAGAGAUCACGGAAAGGGACACCUCGCGAGGUUUCUGUGACACAAGCCAUGAGAACUGGAGCCAGGCGGGCGGCAGCGCGUGCAGUGUCCUUAUUUCCUCUUUGGUGCUAAAGAGGCGAGCGCAGGUGAGGAGUCCCGAGGCAUCAAGCAAAGGUUUCCAUAUCGGUGCAACAAGACCAAGACCAGCAGGACAGCAGGACGGAGGUCGCCGUGGAGCCCAAGACGGCGUCACCACCAGAGCCUUUGGCAGGUGAAGACUACUUUUGUCAGGAUAGCUUGUACUAGAUGUCCCCCUUCAAAUUGGCCGUUGUGGGAUCCCUUCCUGCCUAAUAUUUGGGAAGAGGGCCCGGGCCUCUAUAUAUAGGACUAGCCACCACCAUAGAAAGAGGAUCGGCUCAUCUAGAGGGAAAUUAUCCCCAACCACACAAGCUCACCAAGCACAAGACACCUCUCCUCAGGAGGCUGUUCUUCCCUUGUAACUGUUCAUCCUCAGCCUAAGAGGCAAUCCACACCACCACACUAGAGUAGGGUAUUGCACCACAAUGGUGGCCUGAACCAGUAUAAAUCUUGUGUCUCUUGUUCUUUGGGUUCGUCGAGCUAGGCCGUGAGAUCGUGUUGAGUGCGAGAUAGAGGGGCGAGAGAUCUUUGUGCGCACCCCAGUGUUCGAACCUCAAGGGUUUUGCCGGAACCCGAAAUCCGACAUUUUGCGCGCCAGGUAGGGGUGCGCUUAAGCUUUACUCUUCGUCGAUCCGCACUUCGCCACCCCACCAAGAUCAUGGCCGACGCUCGCCGAGGCCGCGCUGAGCGUCGGGCCGCCCUCGCCACCCGCGUCGCUCAGACAGCCCCUGUCGGCGGGCUGUUGGGGAACGUAGUAAUUUCAAAAAAAUUCCUACGCACACGCAAGAUCAUGGUGAUGCAUAGCAACGAGAGGGGAGAGUGUUGUCCACGUACCCUCGUAGACCGAAAGCGGAAGCGUUAGCGCAACACGGUUGAUGUAGUCAUACGUCUUCACGAUCCGGCCGAUCAAGUACCGAACGCACGGUACCUCCAAGUUCAGCACACGUUCAGCCCGAUGAUGUCCCUUGAACUCCGAUCCAGACGAGUGUUGAGGGAGAGUUUCGUCAGCACGACGGCAUGGUGAUGAUGAUGAUGUUCUAUCGACGCAGUGCUUAGCCUAAGCACCACUACAGUAUUAUCGAGGUGGACUAUGGUGGAGGGGGCACCGCACAUGGCUAAAAGAUCAAACAGAUCGUCUUUGGGGUGCCCCCUGCGCCCGUAUAUAAAGGAACAAAGGGGGGUGCGGCCGGCCUAGAGAGGGGCGCGCCAGGAGGAGUCCUACUCCUAUCAGGAGUAGGACUUCCCCCUUUCUUUGUUGGACUAGGAGAGAGAGGGGAAAGAGGUGGAGGAGAAGAAGGAAGGGGGGGCGCCGCCCCAUUCUCCUUGUCCUAUUCGGACUAGAGGGUAGGGGCGCAGCCCUUGCCCUGGCCGCCUCUCCUCUCUUCCACUAAGGCCCACAAAGGCCCAUUAAGUCCCCAGGGGGUUCCGAUACUCCGGUAAAAUCCUGAUUUCACCCGGAACACUUCCGAUAUCCAAACAUAGGCUUCCAAUAUAUCAAUCUUCAUGUCUUGACCAUUUCGAGACUCCUCGUCAUGUCCGUGAUCACAUCCGGGACUCCGAACAACCUUCGAUACAUCAAAACAUAUAAACUCAUAAUAUAACUGUCAUCAAAACAUUAAGCGUGCGGACCCUACGGAUUCGAGAACUAUGUAGACAUGACCGAGACACGUCUUCGGUCAAUAACCAAUAGCGGAACCUGGAUGCUCAUAUUGGCUCCUACAUAUUCUACGAAGAUCUUUAUCGGUCAGACCGCAUAACAAACAUACGUUGUUCCCUUUGUCAUCGGUAUGUUACUUGCCCGAGAUUCGAUCGUCGGUAUCUCAAUACCUAGUUCAAUCUCAUUACCGAAAAGUCUCUUUACUCGUUUCGUAAUACAUCAUCCCACAACUAACUCAUUAGUUGUAAUGCUUGCAAGGCUUAAGUGAUGUGCAUUACCGAGAGGGCCUAGAGAUACCUCUCCGACAAUCGGGGUGACAAAUCCUAAUCUUGAAAUACGCCAACCCAACAAGUACCUUCGGAGACACCUGUAGAGCACCUUUAUAAUCACCCAUUUAUGUUGUGACGUUUGGUAGCACACAAAAUGUUCCUCCGGUAAACGGGAGUUGCAUAAUCUCAUAGUCAUAGGAACAUGUAUAAGUCAUGAAGAAAGUAAUACCAACAAACUAAAUGAUCAAUUGCUAAGCUAACGGAAUGGGUCAAGUCAAUCACAUCAUUAUCCUAAUGAUGUGAUCCCGUUAAUCAAAUGAAAACUCUUUGUCUAUGGCUAGGAAACAUAACCAUCUUUGAUCAACGAGCUAGUCAAGUAGAGGCAUACUAGUGACACUCUGUUUGUCUAUGUAUUCACACAUGUAUUAUGUUUCCGGUUAAUACAAUUCUAGCAUGAAUAAUAAACAUUUAUCAUGAUAUAAGGAAAUAAAUAAUAACUUUAUUAUUGCCUCCAGGGCAUAUUUCCUUCAGUAUCCCACUUGCACUAGAGUCAAUAAUCUAGUUCACAUCGCCAUGUGAUUUAAUACCAAUAGUUCACAUCACCAUGUGAUUAACACCCAUAGUUCACAUUGACAUGUGACCAACACCCAAAGGGUUUACUAGAGUCAAUAAUCUAGUUCACAUCGCUAUGUGAUUAACACCCAAAGAGUACUAAGGUGUGAUCAUGUUUUGCUUGUGAGAGAAGUUUAGUCAAUGGGUCUGCCACAUUCAGAUCCGUAAGUAUCUUGCAAAUUUCUAUGUCAACAAUGCUCUGCACGGAGCUACUUUAGCUAAUUGCUCCCACUUUCAAUAUGUAUCCAGAUUGAGAUUUAGAGUCAUCUGGAUCAGUGUCAAAAUUUGCAUCGACGUAACCCUUUACGACGAACCCUUUUUUGUCACCUCCAUAAUCGAGAAACAUAUCCUUAUUCCACUAAGGAUAAUUUUGACCGCUGUCCAGUGAUCUACUCCUAGAUCACUAUUGUUCUCCCUUGCCAAAAACAGUGUAGGGUAUACAAUAGAUCUGGUACACAGCAUGACACAUUUUAUAGAACCUAUGGCCAAGGCAUAGGGAAUGACUUUCAUUCUCUUUCUAUCUUCUACCGUGGUCGGGCUUUGAGUCUUACUCAAUGUCACACCUUGUAACACAGGCAAGGACUCUUUCUUUGACUGUUCCAUUUUGAACUACUUCAAAAUCUUGUCAAGGUAUGUACUCAUUGAAAAAACUUAUCAAGCGUCUUGAUCUAUCUCUAUAGAUCUUGAUGCUCAAUAUGUAAGCAGCUUCACCGAGGUCUUUCUUUGAAAAACUCCUUUCAAACACUCCUUUAUGCUUUGCAGAAUAAUUCUACAUUAUUUCCGAUUAACAAUAUGUCAUUUACGUAUACUUAUCAGAAAUGUUGUAGUGCUCCCACUCACUUUCUUGUAAAUACAGGAUUCACCGCAAGUCUGUAUAAAACUAUAUGCUUUGAUCAACUUAUCAACGCGUGUAUUCCAACUCCGGGAUGCUUGCACCAGUCCAUAGAUGGAUCGCUGGAGCUUGCAUAUUUUGUUAGCACCUUUAGGAUUGACAAAACCUUCUGGUUGCAUCAUAUACAACUCUUUCUUUAAUAAAUCCUUUAAGGAAUGCAGUUUUGUUUAUCCAUUUGCUAGAUUUCAUAAAAUGCGGCAAUUUGCUAACAUGAUUCAGACAGACUUAAGCAUCGCUACGAGUGAGAAAAUCUCAUCAUAGUCAACACCUUGAACUUUGUCAAAAACCUUUUUCGACAAGUCUAGCUUUGUAGAUAGUAACACUACUAUCAGCGCCCGUCUUCCUCUUGAAGAUCCAUUUAUUUUCUAUGGCUUGCCGAUCAUCGGGCAAGUCAACCAAAGUCCACACUUUGUUCUCAUACAUGGAUCCCAUCUCAGAUUCCAUGGCCUUAAGCCAUUUUGUGGAAUCUGGGCUCACCAUCGCUUCUUCAUAGUUCGUAGGUUCAUCAUGAUAUAGUAACAUGACUUCCAGAACAGGAUUACCGUACCACUCUGGUGCGGAUCUUACUCUGGUUGAUCUACGAGGUUCAGUAACAACUUGAUCUGAAGUUCCAUGAUCGUCAUCAUUAACUUCCUCACUAAUUGGUGUAGGCGUCACAGAAACAAGUUUCUGUGAUGAACUACUUUCCAAUAGGGGAGUAGGUACAAUUACCUCAUCAAGUUAUACUUUCCUCCCACUCACUUCUUUCGAGAGAAACUCCUUCUCUAGAAAAACUCCGAAUUUAGCAACAAAAGUCUUGCCUUCGGAUCUGUGAUAGAAGGUGUACCCAACAGUCUCCUUUGGGUAUCCUAUGAAGACACAUUUCUCCGAUUUGGGUUCGAGCUUAUCAGGUUGAAGCUUUUUCACAUAAGCAUCGCAGCCCCAAACUUUCAGAAACGACAACUUUGGUUUCUUUCCAAACCACAGUUCAUAAGGCGUCGUCUCAACGGAUUUCGAUGGUGCCCUAUUUAACGUGAAUGCAGCCGUCUCUAAAGCAUAACCCCAAAACGAUAGUGGUAAAUCGGUAAGAGACAUCAUAUAUCGCACCAUAUCUAAUAAAGUACGGUUACGACGUUCGGACACACCAUUACACUAAGGUGUUCCAGGUGGCGUGAGUAGUGAAACUAUUUCACAUUGUUUUAACUGAAGGCCAAACUCGUAACUAAAAAAAAUACUUCUGCGACCAUAUCAUAGAAAUUUUUAUUUUUGUUGCAAUGAUUCUCCACUUCACUCUGAAAUUCUUUGAACUUUUCAAAUGUUUCAGACUUGUGUUUCAUCAAGUAGAUAUACUCAUAUCUGCUCAAAUCAUCUGUGAAGAUCAGAAAAUAAUGAUACCUGUCGUGAGCCUCAAUAUUCAUCGGACCACAUACAUCAGUAUGUAUGAUUUCCAACAAAUCUGUUGCUCGCUCCAUUGUUCCGGAGAAUGGAGUCUUAGUCAUCUUGCCCGUGAGGCAUGGUUUGCAAGCAUCAACUGAUUCAUAAUCAAGUGAUUCCAAAAGCCCAUCAACAUGUAUUUUCUUCAUGCGCUUUACACUAAUAUGACCUAAACGACAGUGCCACAAAUAAGUUGCACUAUCAUUAUUAACUUUGCAUCUUUUGGCUUCAAUAUUAUGAAAAUGUGUAUCACCACGAUCGAGAUCCAACAAACCAUUUUCAUUGGGUGUAUGACCAUAGAAGGUUUUAUUCAUGUAAACAGAACAACAAUUAUUCUCUAACUUACAUGAAUAACUGUAUUGCAAUAAACAUGAUCCAAUCAUAUUCAUGCUCAACGCAAACACUAAAUAACAUUUAUUUUAGGUUUAACACUAAUCCCGAAAGUAUAGGGAGUGUGCGAUGAUGAUCAUAUCAAUCUUGGAACCAUUUCCAAUACACAUCGUCACUUCACCCUUAACUAGUCUCUGUUCAUUCUGCAACUCCCGUUUAGAGUUACUAUUCUUAGCAACUGAACUAGUAUCAAAUACUGAGGGGUUGCUAUAAACACUAGUAAAGUACACAUCAAUAACAUGUAUAUCAAAUAUACCUAUGUUCACUUUGCCAUCCUUCUUAUCCGCCAAUUACUUGGGGUAGUUCCGCUUCCAGUGACCAGUCCCUUUGCAGUAGAAGCACUCAGUUUCAGGCUUAGGUCCAGACUUGGGUUUUUUCACUUGAGCAGCAACUUGCUUGCUGUUCUUCUUGAAGUUCCCCUUCUUCUUCCCUUUGUACCUUUACUUGAAACUAGUGAUUUUGUUUACCAUCAACACUUGAUGCUUUUCUUGAUUUCUACCUUCGUCGAUUUCAGCAUCACGAAGAGCUUGGGAAUCAUUUCUGCUAUCCCUUGCAUAUUAUAGUUCAUCACGAAGUUCUACUAACUUGGUGAUGGUGACUAGAGAAUUCUGUUAAUCACUAUUUCAUCUGGAAGAUUAACUCCCACUUGAUUCAAGCGAUUGUAGUACCCAGACAAUCUGAGCACAUGCUCACUGCUUGAGCUAUUCUCCUCCAUCUUUUAGCUAUAGAACUUGUUGGAGACUUCAUAUCUCUCAACUCGGGUAUUUGAUUGAAAUAUUAAUUUCAACUCCUAGAACAUCUCAUAUGGUCCAUGACGUUCAAAACGUCUUUGAAAUCCCGAUUCUAAGCUGUUAAGCAUGGUGUACUAAACUAUCAAGUAGUCAUCAUAUUGUCACAACCCUAGAAUUCUGCUUUGUAAUUAGUUGCAUUGUCACGACCGGUUUUUCAAUAAAAAUAUUUAUUGAGAAACCAAUCUUUUGAGUCCAGUAUGAGAGAAAUCCUCCUCACUGGUAGACAAAUUCUUGAUACAAUAAGCCAGUAGCAUGAAAUAUAUUACAGGGUCGAACUACGGUUGCUCAACCAAAUUAUUACAAGCAUGCCAAUAAUUAUACAUAAUGGCGGACAUGACACAGUGGUGUGGAGGCAUACUACUGACUCGAGGAUAGGGCGGUGGUGGAGAAAACACAGCGGGGAGAGAAAUACAAUACUCUAAGUCUGUCAUCUCAUCGAGCGUCGAGGUGAGGCUCGAUGAAUUUAUUUGGUAGUGGAAGCGGAUAUAAAACAGUGACCAAAUCCAGGGUCGCACGAGACUGACUGGGACUCCUCUAAGUGUCGGACUCGCUAUCAAACUCUUCAUCCAUGAGAUCGCCUUCGUCAGCAUCUGGCCAAAUCAACAAGCCAGUGAGUACUUUGAAAGUACUCGCAAGACAGUUCGGACGUAAGAUAUAACAAAUGCAUGCAUGGAGGCGUCAUGAAUAAUUCACCAAUGUACAUUCAAAAAUUAGCAUAACAAGGUAAGUAAAAGGGAAACGGCGGUAGUCCGCCUAAAAUCCCAACAAAACAUAAAUAAAUACCGAUCGGGUGGCUGAAGCGACGCCUCGAAAGGUGAACAAAUAAAUAUAAGGAAAUGAGGCCACAAUCGGGCGUCUUAGCGACACCACAUAAAGGGCUUUUAAAAGAAAUGCCACAGUCGGACGUCGGGGCGACAUCACAGAAAGGGCUUUAAAAGAAAUGCCACAGUCAGACGUCGCGGCGACAUCACAGAAAGGACUUUAAAAGAAAUACCACAGUCGGACGUCGGGGCGACAUCACAGAAAGGGCUUUAAAAGAAAUGCCACAGUCGGACGUCGGGGCGACAUCACAGAAAGGGCUUGAAAAGAAAGUAAAAUACAACAAUGCCAUAGUCGGACGUCUGAGCGACAUCGCAGAAAGGGCUUUUAUUCACAAGUAAAUAAUACUCAUAAUAAACAUUUAAUUCUUGAGAAUAAAUGGGUUAGUCCAUCCUCAGGAAUAAUCAUUUAACCAGACUUAGCACUCAUGCGAUUCACCGGAGUCUCUGUCAUCAAAACUGACAUUUGAUUAGGAUAAGAUAAUAUCGAUCUAGGACAGGGAAUAGAUGAUUGGGAGGAAUAUAUGACUCUGCAGAGUUUGUACAAAAUUUUUCCCACAGCCAACGGAUUUCCGUAGUCACGAAGGACUAGUUCCGUUUACGGUAUUUCGAAAGAAAACACAGCUAACCAAUACACACCCAUCCUACCUCUCGAUGCUAGGAAUCACCCUAGACUCAUCCAAGAAAAACUUUUGAGACGGGGAGAUCACAAUCUCGAAUAGCAUGGGAUCAAAUUUAUAUACGGGCGCUCUAAGGGGUGCCCCCCUCUCGGUCCCAACCGGAAACACCCAUGCCCCCUGACCGGAUGACUGGCUUUAAUCCAGGGCCACGGAACCAUCAUCACGGCCUCUCCUUUUGGUGUGUACCAGAAAAGCGGUUUGCAACUUACUAAACCAUAUUCCUUGCGGAAAACAUGUGGUAGUACAGGGAAGGAAAUGAGAGGAACUGGACCGAUACAGUUUGACACUGAAGUCACAUAGUCUGGCAUAAGACUGGCAUGCUAUGACACUGCCAUCUUACCCAUCCUCAUGCCAACACAUGGCCAUUCAUACUCACAUCCAUCCACUUAUGGAUCAUCGAGCUCACUUACCUCAAUAUUGCAUAAAAUAACGUUCAUCGAUAUGCUCCUCAACAUGUCAUGAAACUAACUAAAUGCAAAACAUGCCAAGACACUCAUCAUAUCAAAAGUUCAAACAUGCUUGCCUGGUUCAGAGUAGUCGGAGCCUAGCUCGGUGAAGUUCGCGGCUCCGUCACCUCCUUCGGUAUCUACGGUAUAAAGAAAAUAUAUGUGCUAUCGUAAAUACCAAGGAGUGCAUAGAAAGUAUUUCAAAUAUUUUUCAAAUAAAUCUGAUAAAAAACUAGACAAAAUUUUAAAGAGAACAGAAAAAGAAUCAAUCAAAAAUACUUUUCUUUUUGAAAGUUAUAAGGGUUUUUGUCCAGGGACUCAUCUGUAAUGAAACAGAAGAUUUCCAGGGGCUAGCUUAUAAAAACAGAAAACGUUCCAGUGUUGAAUACGCCAGCCCAGAGGGGAAAGCGCAGUUUGCCCGAAGGCGCUUCCAGAAAACGUUUCAAUAGAGAGAGCAGAGAGGCUGACGGUGGGGUCCCACUCGUCAGGUUUAAACUUCAAAAAGGGGGGGAGGGCGAAGCUCGUCGGCGCCCGAGAGCCGCGGUGGUCGCGGCGGCAAUCCACGGCGAGGUAGGAGGAUCGGAGGGUACCUCCGUGCUCAGGGCGCCAUUCCGCGUCGGUUGGUGGUGGUGGUGGUCGCCGGCGAGUACCACGUCGACGACGAGCUUUGCUCCGGCGGACGGCGGCUCGGGUGGUCGAGGGACUCGUCGGAGAGGGCUGCAGAGAUCAAAUUGAGGAGGGGGUUAGGCUCCUGGUAGCUAGAGAGGGUAACGGACGGGGUUUGGGCGCCGGAGAUGGCCUCAUCGGAGCAAAUCGUGGUGGAGGCCGAGGCGGAUCGGGGCGGCCGGAGUUGGGGGAGGAGACCUCCUUGAGGUCCUCCUAGUGGCCUGGCGGGGUGUUGGUGAGGAGUGGUGAUGAUGCGUGCACGAGGGUGAGCUCGGGGGCCCUUUUUAUAAGCGGCCCGAGGCGGUUGCCGUGAACGGGGAUCUCCGGUGACGAUUACGGCGGCGCAGGGCUUGGUCGGGGUAAUUAGGACAUUGGGCGUCAUCGAGGAGGUCCACGGUUCCGUUUAGGCGCUAAUCGAGCUGGAGUUUGGUGCGUUGGGGGUGAGUUCGACAGAACGGGGCGGCGCGGGCCCGUCGGCGGCAGGGAGCACGUCCCGUGCUUGCCGGCCACGGUGGCGGUGCCACGGGCGUGCGCUGGCACACAUGAGGCCACGCGGAGAGCAGAGGGGCGAUGGGCGGCGCGGAAUGGCGUUGAGCCGCCGUUCUUGUCCCCUGUCGGCCGCCACGGGAGGUCCCGACGCCGCAGAAGACGCCGGCGAGGGCGGGCCAGCGUGCCACCGACGCCAGGAAGGCUCCACGCACGCGUGUGAAGCUCCGGACAAGAGGGAGGGCUGCGAGGAACGUGCCAAGUGCACUGUGAACGCGUGAGUGAAGCUGACGAACGCAAAAUGACACUGAAGUCUGAAUUUUCUGAAUUUUGAACAGCAACAGUGCAUGCAAGGUGUUCGACAGAAUGAAUUUGGCCUCUAGUGAUUUUUCCUUGAGCUGAUUUUUGGUGGAGUGGCUUCUCAUUGCUCAAGUAGGCUGCCUGAAUUUUGGUGGAAUUUUUGGAGCAGUUUAGAUAUGAAUAUCAUCAAAUUUGGCAAAUCUGGUCCAAACUUGCAAAGACUGAAUUUUGAAAAAAUUGAAAAGAGGAGGAGUGGAUCAAGAUGGUUCUGGGUUGUGGGUACAAAGGACUAACCAGGAGAGUUGGUUUGAGGUCAAAACUCAAAUGCAAAAGGGUACUUGCUUUGAAAAUCACUCAGGCUCCAAAUAAUUUUCAGAAAUGAUUUGAGAGGAAAAAUAAUUAGAAUAAAAUCCAAAACUUGCUUGGAUUAGUUGGGACAGAGAACUUAGGUUGAUUACAAGGAGGAGGGGAGGUUUUGGAGGGGUUUUACCACAUGGGCAAAAAUGCCAAGUCAUGGGUGAUUUUCAAGAUAUGCAAAUCCCAAAUUUUCAUAGAGUUUCUUUUUAAAAGAAAAAGAUUAAACUCCCAAAAAUGAAUUUGAGAGGGAACCAACAGAGAAGAAGUUUCAAAAGAUCAAACACCAAAGUUUGAAAAAAAAAAUCCUUGCCAAAUCAAAAGGAAGUUUUCAAGAGGAAGGUUUUCUGAAAUAAUUUUAAAUGGCCUCUUUUCAAAACCCACAAAGUUUUUGAUAAAAACCAAAUUAAAAAUUUUGGAGUGUCACAACACCUACCCCCUUAGGAAAAAUCUCGUCCCCGAGAUUUCAGCUGAUCCUUAAAUAAGUGUGGAUGCUCUGUCCGAAGAAAAUCCUCGCUUUCCCAAGUUGCUUCAUUGUCGGUGUGAUUGCUCCAUUGGACUUUGAAAAACUUGAUGGUCUUCUGUCGGGUCCUCCUUUCAGACUCCUCUAAUAUUCUUACGGGGCGUUCCCGAUAAGUGAGGUCUGGCUGCACGUCAAUGUUCUCAUGGGAUACUUGUUUCUCUGGGUUGCUUACGCACUUCCUUAAUUGAGAGACAUGGAACACGUCGUGAAUGUCGGAUAAGUCUUCGGGUAAGUCUAGCUGGUAGGCUACAGUGCCUCUUCGUGCCACUAUGCAGAAUGGUCCAAUGAAUCUUGGUGCUAACUUUCCUUUAAUCUUAAACCGUUGCAAUCCUCUCAUAGGGGACACUCUCAGGUAUACGAACUCACCGGGUUCGAAGCUGACCCUACGAUGUUUCUGAUCAUAAUAACUCUUCUGUCGACUUUGAGCGGUCUUAAGUCGGUCUCUGAUUAGCUUGACCUUUUCCUCGGCUUCUCUGAGCAUGUCUGGUCCGAAGAUGCGGCUGUCUCUGGUCUCUGACCAAUUUAACGGGGUACGACAUCUUCGUCCGUAUAAAGCCUCAAAUGGUGCCAUUUGUAGGCUGGCCUGGUAGCUAUUGUUAUACGCGAACUCGGCGUAUGGCAGGCUUUCUUCCCAACUGGUUCCAUAUGUGAGGACACAUCCUCUCAGCAUGUCUUCUAAAAUUUGGUUUACGCGUUCAGUCUGCCCAUCAGUCUGUGGGUGGUAUGCGGUACUGAAGGUUAGUUGGGUUCCCAGAGCCUGUUGUAAAUGUUCCCAAAAUCUCGAGACGAACUGAGUGCCUCUGUCGGAUAUUAUAGUCUUCGGGACACCGUGCAGACAAACUAUGCGGGAAAGAUAAAUCCUGGCAAGCCUCUGAGUGGUGUGGGUCGUCUUCACUGGAAUAAAGUGUGCCACUUUGGUCAACCUGUCAGUGAUGACCCAUAUGGCAUCAUUCCCGUGUCGUGACCGAGGUAGUCCGACAAUGAAAUCCAUCCCUAUUUCAUCCCAUUUCCACUCAGGUAUUUUGUUAGGUUGCAGUAGUCCGGCUGGUCUCUGAUGCUCAGCUUUUAUGCGUUGACAUGAGUCGCAACAUGCAAUGAAGGUGGCUAUGUCCCUCUUCAUACCGUGCCACCAAAAUCUUUCCUGAAUAUCCUUAUACAUUUUGGUUCCUCCAGGGUGAAUUGAAUAUGGAGUGGUGUGUGCUUCAGCUAAAAUUUGCUGUUUAAGGUCUUCUAUGUUUGGCACGCAGAGCCUUUCUCCGUACCAUAAUAUUCCUUCAUUGUCUAUGAUGAAUUUCGAGGCCUUGCCCAUACUCAACUUUCUUUUGAUGCCUUCGAUGCUGGUGUGACCGGGCUGAGCUUCUUUAAUUUUCUCCACAAGGUUGGGUUGUAUUUCCAAGUUUGAUAUGGUGCCUUCUGCUACCAUUAUCAAGUUGAGCUUGGCAAAUUCUUGUUGGAGUUCGGGCCUCAAGCUGUGCAGAUUGUUUUCGUCGGAGCUGGGGUUCCGACUAAGGGCAUCGACCACUACAUUUGCUUUCCCUGAAUGGUAAUGGAUACCAACAUCAUAAUCCUUUACCAACUCCAACCAACGUCGUUGUCGUAAGUUUAGUUCUGGCUGUGUGAAAAUAUAUUUGAGACUUUUGGAUCCGUAUAUAUUUCACAUCGAUUCCCAAGUAAGAAAUGCCUCCAUUCCUUGAGUGCAUGAAUAACUGCUGCCAUUUCUAAGUCAUGAGUGGGAUAAUUUUCCUCAUGCUUGCGAAGUUGCCUUGAAGCGUAGGCGACAACCUUGCCUUCCUGCAUCAACACGCAUCCGAGACCCUUUCUGGACGCGUCACAAUAUACUUCAAAAUUCUUGUGUAUGUCGGGGACAAUUAAUACCGGUGCUGUCGUUAACUUCCGUUUUAGUUCUUGGAAACUUUUCUCGCAGGUUUCUGUCCAUUCAAACUUCUUAUCUUUCUUGAGUAACUGCGUCAUAGGCUUCGCUAUGGUGGAAAAUCCUUCAAUAAAUCUGUGGUAAUAUCCUGCCAUUCCCAAGAAACUCCGUAUGUCCGUUACGCUGGCUGGUGACUUCCAGCCAAGUACGGCCUUGACUUUCUCUGGGUCCACUGCGAUACCGUCUUGGGUCAGGACGUGGCCUAGAAAGCCUACUUGUCUUAGCCAAAAUUCGCACUUGCUGAACUUGGCAUACAAUUGGUGUUUUCUUAGCUCUCCUAGCACAAUCCUGAGAUGUUCUGCGUGCUCUUCUGGUGUCUUGGAGUAUACCAGAAUAUCGUCGAUGAAUACCACGACGAACUUGUCCAUAAACUUCAUAAAUACUUUGUUCAUGAGGUGAACAAAAUAUGCUGGGGCAUUAGUUAAUCCAAAUGGCAUCACUGUGAACUCGUACAGUCCAUAUCUGGAGGUGAAGGCUGUUUUGGGGAUAUCUUCCGUUCGUACCUUCAAUUGAUGGUAUCCUGACCUUAAGUCAAUUUUUGAGAAUACCUUGGCCUGAGCGAGUUGAUCAAACAAAUCGUUUAUCCUUGGCAUCGGGUAUUUGUUUUUGACUGUGACCAUGUUAAGUGCUCGAUAGUCAAUACACAAUCUCAGCGUUCCAUCCUUCUUUUUGGCAAAUAAAAUUGGUGAUCCCCAAGGUGAGGAGAUGGCUCGAAUGUAUCCUUUUUCCAGCAAUUCCUUUAUUUGCUUCUUCAACUCGAUCAACUCGGAUGGUGCCAUUCUGUAUGGUUUCUUGUAUAUGGGGGUGGUUCUUGGUGCUAGCUCAAUGUGGAAUUCUAUUUCUCGGUCUGGUGGCAUGCCUAGUAGUUCUUCAGGGAAUACAUCUGGAAAUUCACACACUACUGGAACCUUGUUUAGCUCAGAAAUGUCCACCUUAUUUAAUCUCGGUUGUCGGGGUAUUUUUCCUUCCUUGGCUGAUACUCUUAUUGUCUUCCCUUGGUGGUGUGUGAGAAUUACGGUCCUGUUGAAACAGUCGAUAAAACCCUUAUUGGUGGUUAGCCAAUCCAUCCCUAGGAUGACAUCCAGUCCUUUAUUUUCCAACACAAUAAGAUUUGCGUGAAACUCCAAUCCUUCGAACUCAAUGACCACAUUCUGACAGUAAUUCUGAGUAACUUGCUGAAUCCUAGGGGACUUGAUGAUCAUGGAUUUCUCCAAAGGAAGCAUCGAAAAAUUAUUUUGCAAAGCAAAACUUUUCGAAAUGAAAGAGUGAGAAGCUCCAGAAUCAAACAAAACCAUUGCAGGUAUUGUGUUGACAGGAAACAUACCGAGUACGAUAUCCGGAGCAUUUUGUGCCUCCUCUUUGGUCACGUGGUUCAGAUGACCCUUCCUGUGGUUAUUGUUGGGAUUGAAAUUGUUUCGCUUGGGCGCGGAAUUAUUGCUGCCGUUGUUCGGCUUUGGGGUUGAAUUCCUUGGCUUGGGGCACUGUUUGGCAUAGUGCCCUUCUUCUCCACAAGCGUAACAAGUAACGCCGGGGCGAUAGGUGAAUUCUUUGUCCCUUGCAUGAAAAUUCUUGAUUGGGCGUGAGACAUUGGAUGAGGAUUUGUGUGUCCCACCCUUUUGAAAAUCUGUCCUGCUUCGGUGAUUGCGAGCAUGGUUAGUCUGGUCCCUUUUUCGCUUGCGAAUAUCUUCCAGACUGCGUCUCUCAUUUUCCAGAGUAAUGGCUUUGUCCACCAGUGUUUUAAAAUCAGGAAAAGUGUGCACGACCAGUUAGCAUUUAAGCGCGGGCGCCAGACCGUCAAGGAAUUUCUCCAUCUUCUUGAUUUUAGUCAUACGCUCUUCAUUGGCAUAGCGGGACAAUAGAGUAAAUUGACUGUUGUAAUCUGACACUGUCAUGUUCCUUUGUUUGAGGUCAUCGAAUUCUCUCUUCUUGAUUUUCAUUAUACUCUUAGGAAUGUGUGCACCACGGAAACCUUCCUUGAAAUCCUCCCAGGUUAUGUCAUUUUCGUUGGGAUGCAUGUGCAGAAAAUUCUCCCACCACGAUGCGGUUGCUCCUGUGAGAUAGUGUGGAGCAUACAAUACCUUUUCGGGGUCUGAACAUUUUGCAAUAAUUAAUUUUCUCUCCAUAUCUCGAAGCCAGUCCUCGACUUCAAGAGGCUUGUCAGUAUGAGAAAAUGUUUGAGGACGUGUCUUCUGUAGCUCAGAUAACUUGGAAUGCUGCUGAUACUGUCCAUGGUGAUUUCCCAUGUUGAUGACUUGGUUCAUCAUUUCCCGAUGUUGUUGCUGACUCUGCUCAUAAAGGCGGCACAUUUGUGAAAGUGCCGAUUCACUGCCCUUUUGGCUUGACUGUCCCUGAGUGAACUCGUUGCUGGGUUGUGCAUCAUAAUUUUCCUCUGGUGGAGUUGGCAUGGAGCGAGUCCAAGGACGAGACAUUUUUCACUCUGGGGAUAUAUUUUGUAAAAUCCAUAAGAAAAGCGGAAAGAGUCGCAAAAACAAUUUCAAAAAAAUGCAUAAAGCUGGCAAAUAAAACUAAAUAACCCAGCUUACUUAAGAAAAACAAAUCGACUUGCGCACGGAGAAGGACUGCUCAUUACAUAACUUACACGCGGGCGGUAAUUAUACAAUACAUCACUCAAGAUAUGCGUACAUAAUCCUGACAUGUUAUUUAGGCUAGUGCACUUCUCCAGAUCCUACAUGAUGCGCAAACAGGCUACUUCUCACAACCUAUGUACAUAUCUUACAAGGCGGUACAUUACACGGCAGCUAAGCGUACUCAGGCAGAGAUGUUGACGACCUCCUUUGCCCUGCCGAGGGAGAGGCGUAGCGAGGUUGGGGACUCGACUUCCUCCUUGCUAAUGGGCUCCAUACGUGUAGUGUUGCGCAGAGUGGACGGAGUGGUUGCCAGGGGCAGAGCAACACGUACAGGAGUGGGCGCGAAGGGUGGUGCAGUGCACGCUGGAGUGGGCGCAAUGACUUGGUUGAAUUCUUCGGUAGAAGGCAGGCGACGAGUAGGCGGAUAAGAUGCUGAUGACGAGACAAAAGUCAGCGGCGGUGCGAUGGGUAGGAGCUCCCUCCUGUUGGCAGCACAUCCAUGAACUGAGUCCAUGCGGGUAGCUACGAAGUCGUCCACCAGGUUGUCGAAGGCUGCUUCCAGGGCCCGGAGAUACUCAAUGAGCAUCUCAAAAGCCUCGUCUCGUUCUCCUCUGGGGCAGGAGUAUGCGUAGUGACAGGUGUAUGGCACAUGGCAUGGGAGAUAGCGGUAGCGACGAGUCUUCAUCACAGGGAGGACAUCCCUGAGACGAGCUAUCGCCUCGCGGGCUGCCAUCUGCAUAGCAUGCCUCUCCGUAGGCAUGGCUCUUCCCACGAACCGGAAGCGGCGUAACUCACCACGCCCUCCCUUGAAUUGCACCGCAGCCUGGUGCAUGGUCAGACUGUCGUUGACUCGGUGCUGGCAGAGUGUGAAGACUGGGCGCACAGAUGGCCCCAUCGCGACCUGAACGAUGAAGGAAAGAAGCUUGACGAACCCAUCGGGCAUGUUGGCGAAGGUCUGAGACUCGCAGCUGUUGUCGGCCAUCUACAAAAGUAGGCACAAAUUCUGCAUGGUCAGAUCAUAAAUUUAUGCUGACUGACAGAAAAUGACUACAAUUGCAAAAAUAUAAAUUAGCUCUAUCAUGCUAAUAACCAACUAGCGAUCGCACCUAGUGGCUUCCUACAGUUAGCCUGGCUCUGGUACCAAGCUUGUCACGACCGGUUUUUCAAUAAAAAUAUUUAUUGAGAAACCAAUCUUUUGAGUCUAGUAUGAGAGAAAUCCUCCUCACUGGUAGACAAAUUCUUGAUACAAUAAGCUAGUAGCAUGAAAUAUAUUACAGGGUCGAACUACGGUUGCUCAACCAAAUUAUUACAAGCACGCCAAUAAUUAUACAUAAUGGCGGACAUGACACAGUGGUGUGGAGGCAUACUACUGACUCGAGGAUAGGGCGGUGGUGGAGAAAACACAGCGGGGAGAGAAAUACAAUACUCUAAGUUUGUCAUCUCAUCGAGCGUCGAGGUGAGGCUCGAUGAAUUUAUUUGGUAGCGGAAGCGGAUAUAAAACAGUGACCAAAUCCAGGGUCGCACGAGACUGACUGGGACUCCUCUAAGUGUCGGACUCGCUAUCAAACUCUUCAUCCAUGAGAUCGCCUUCGUCAGCAUCUGGCCAAAUCAACAAGCCAGUGAGUACUUUGAAAGUACUCGCAAGACAGUUCGGGCGUAAGAUAUAACAAAUGCAUGCAUGGAGGCGACAUGAAUAAUUCACCAAUGUACAUUCAAAAAUUAGCAUAACAAGGUAAGUAAAAGGGAAACGGCGGUAGUCCGCCUGAAAUCCCAACAAAACAUAAAUAAAUACCAAUCGGGUGUCUGAAGCGACGCCUCGAAAGGUGAACAAAUAAAUAUAAGGAAAUGAGGCCACAAUCGGGCAUCUUAGCGACACCACAUAAAGGGCUUUUUAAAGAAAUGCCACAGUCGGACGUCGGGGCGACAUCACAGAAAGGGCUUUAAAAGAAAUGCCACAGUCGGACGUCGGGGCGACAUCACAGAAAGGACUUUAAAAGAAAUGCCACAGUCGGACGUCGGGGCGACAUCACAGAAAGGGCUUUAAAAGAAAUGCCACAGUCAGACGUCGGGGUGACAUCACAGAAAGGGCUUGAAAAGAAAGUAAAAUACAACAAUGCCACAGUCGGACGUCUGAGUGACAUCGCAGAAAGGGCUUUUAUUCACAAGUAAAUAAUACUCAUAAUAAACAUUUAAUUCUUGGGAAUAAAUGGGUUAGUCCAUCCUCAGGAAUAAUCAUUUAACCGGACUUAGCACUCAUGCGAUUCACCGGAGUCUCUGUCAUCAAAACUGACAUUUGAUUAGGAUAAGAUAAUAUCGAUCUAGGACAGGGAAUAGAUGAUUGGGAGGAAUAUAUGACUCUGCAGAGUUUGUACAAAAUUUUUCCCACAGCCAACGGAUUUCCGUAGUCACGAAGGACUAGUUCCGUUUACGGUAUUUCGGAAGAAAACACAGCUAACCAGUACACACCCAUCCUACCUCUCGAUGCUAGGAAUCACCCUAGACAUCGUCCAAGAAAAACUUUUGAGAUGGGGAGAUCACAAUCUCGAAUAGCAUGGGAUCAAAUUUAUAUAUGCGCGCUCUAAGGGGUGCCCCCCUCUCGGUCCCAACCGGAAACACCCAUGCCCCCUGACCGGAUGACUGGCUUUAAUCCAGGGCCACGGAACCAUCAUCACGGCCUCUCCUUUUGGUGUGUACCAGAAAAGCGGUUUGCAACUUACUAAACCAUAUUCCUUGCGGAAAACAUGUGGUAGUACAGGGAAGGAAAUGAGAGGAACUGGACCGAUACAGUUUGACACUGAAUUCACAUAGUCUGGCAUAAGACUGGCAUGCUAUGACACUGCCAUCUUACCCAUCCUCAUGCCAACACAUGGCCAUUCAUACUCACAUCCAUCCACUUAUGGAUCAUCGAGCUCACUUACCUCAAUAUUGCAUAAAAUAACGUUCAUCGAUAUGCUCCUCAACAUGUCAUGAAACUAACUAAAUGCAAAACAUGCCAAGACACUCAUCAUAUCAAAAGUUCAAACAUGCUUGCCUGGUUCAGAGUAGUCAGAGCCUAGCUCGGUGAAGUUCGCGGCUCCGUCACCUCCUUCGGUAUCUACGGUAUAAAGAAAAUAUAUGCGCUAUCGUAAAUACCAAGGAGUGCACAGAAAGUAUUUCAAAUAUUUUUCAAAUAAAUCUGGUAAAAAACUAGACAAAAUUUUAAAGAGAACAGAAAAAGAAUCAAUCAAAAAUACUUUUCUGUUUAAAAGUUAUAAGGGUUUUUGUCCAGGGACUCAUCUGUAAUGAAACAGAAGAUUUCCAGGGGCUAGCUUAUAAAAACAGAAAACGUUCCAGUGUUGAAUACGCCAGCCCAGAGGGGAAAGCGCAUUUUGCCCGAAGGCGCUUCCAGAAAACAUUUCAAUAGAGAGAGCAGAGAGGUUGACGGUGGAGUCCCACUCGUCAGGUUUAAACUUCAAAAAGGGGGGAGGGCGAAGCUCGUCGGCGCCCGAGAGCCGCGGUGGUCGCCGGCGGCGAUCCACGGCGAGGUAGGAGGAUCGGAGGGUACCUCCGUGCUCAGGGCGCCAUUCCGCGUCGGUUGGUGGUGGUGGUGGUCGCCGGCGAGUACCACGUCGACGGCGAGCUUUGCUCCGGCGGACGGCGGCUCGGGUGGUCGAGGGACUCGUCGGAGAGGGCUGCAGAGAUCAAAUUGAGGAGGGGGUUAGGCUCCUGGUAGCUAGAGAGGGUAACGGACGGGGUUUGGGCGCCGGAGAUGGCCUCACCGGAGCGAAUCAUGGUGGAGGCCGAGGCGGAUCGGGGCGGCCGGAGUUGGGGGAGGAGACCUCCUUGAGGUCCUCCUAGUGGCCUGGCGGGGUGUUGGUGAGGAGUGGUGAUGAUGCGUGCACGAGGGUGAGCUCGGGGGCCCUUUUUAUAGGCGGCCCGAGGCGGUUGCCGUGAAUGGGGAUCUCCAGUGAUGAUUACGGCGGCGCAGGGCUUGGUCGGGGUAAUUAGGACGUUGGGCGUCAUCGAGGAGGUCCACGGUUCCGUUUAGGCGCUAAUCGAGCUGGAGUUUGGUGCGUUGGGGGUGAGUUCGACAGAACAGGGCGGCGCGGGCCCGUCGGCGGCAGGGAGCGCGUCCCGUGCUUGCCGGCCACGGUGGCGGUGCCACGGGCGUGCGCUGGCACACAUGAGGCCACGCGGAGAGUAGAGGGGCGAUGGGCGGCGCGGAACGGCAUUGAGCCGCCGUUCUUGUCCCCUGUCGGCCGCAACGGGAGGUCCCGACGCCGCAGAAGACGCCGGCGAGGGCGGGCCAGCGUGCCACCGAUGCCAGGAAGGCUCCACGCACGCGUGUGAAGCUCCGGACAAGAGGGAGGGGCUGCGAGGAACGUGCCAAGUGCACUGUGAACGCGUGAGUGAAGCUGACGAACGCAAAAUGACACUGAAGUCUGAAUUUUCUGAAUUUUGAACAGCAACAGUGCAUGCAAGGUGUUCGACAGAAUGAAUUUGGCCUCUGGUGAUUUUUCCUUGAGCUGAUUUUUGGUGGAGUGGCUUCUCAUUGCUCAAGUAGGCUGCCUGAAUUUUGGUGGAAUUUUUGGAGCAGUUUAGAUAUGAAUAUCAUCAAAUUUGGCAAAUCUGGUCCAAACUUGCAGAGACUGAAUUUUGAAAAAAUUGAAAAGAGGAGGAGUGGAUCAAGAUGGUUCUGGGUUGUGGGUACAAAGGACUAACUAGGAGAGUUGGUUUGAGGUCAAAACUCAAAUGCAAAAGGGUACUUGCCUUGAAAAUCACUCAGGCUCCAAAUAAUUUUCAGAAAUGAUUUGAGAGGAAAAAUAAUUAGAAUAAAAUCCAAAACUUGCUUGGAUUAGUUGGGACAGAGAACUUAGGUUGAUUACAAGGAGGAGGGGAGGUUUUGGAGGGGUUUUACCACAUGGGCAAAAAUGCCAAGUCAUGGGUGAUUUUCAAGAUAUGCAAAUCCCAAAUUUUCAUAGAGUUUCUUUUUAAAAGAAAAAGAUUAAACUCCCAAAAAUGAAUUUGAGAGGGAACCAACAGAGAAGAAGUUUCAAAAGAUCAAACACCAAAGUUUGGACAAAAAAUCCUUGCCAAAUCAAAAGGAAGUUUUCAAGAGGAAGGUUUUCUGAAAUAAUUUUAAAUGGCCUCUUUUCAAAACCCACAAAGUUUUUGAUAAAAACCAAGUUAAAAAUUUUGGAGUGUCACAUGCAUCAGUGAGUUGCAUCCAUGCAUCAUGUUUAAAUUCAAGAAACUUGAAUUGAGGAAAUUUGAAAGCCUCAAAAUUUUAAUUAGAAGUAAGGCAAAUAACCCUGGAAAAUGCAUCCAAUGUUUCCAAAAUGUUCUCCAAUGAUGUUUAAUAUUUUUGGCAAGGUUUUGGUCCAAACCAAAAAUAUGGAACUUUUUGAGGAAUUAUUUUGGCCAUCUGGAUUUAAAUCAAUAAAUAUUUGAGUUGGAUUUAAUUCUUCUAUAAAAAGAAUUGCAAGUCCAGUAAUCCUGAAAACCUGUGAGUGGCUUUGAAUAUAUUGCAUCAAGCCACAUAAAUAUUUUCAGAAGCUACUAAAUGAUUUGGUUUGUGAAUCAAAUCAAAACAGAAUUGAAAUAUUAGAAAACAGAAACAGAAAUGUAAAAAAGGAAACUAACCUGGCCCAGCUUACCUGGCCUCACUUGUGUAGCCACCAGAGAGGCCAACCCAGCACUGUAGAGGCCCAGCCCACAGGGGCAUGACCGUCUUCUACCUCUGCCAGUAGGCAGAGGUGAACCAGAGCACGACGCCGGCUGCGCCAGCUCCUGCUUCGCGCUGGCGAGCUCUCCUCCCCCCACGCCCUCGAGACGCGACACAGCUCCCUGGCCCACUCCCUUACUCUUCUCGUGCUCCUCCUCCCCUCAGUCUCCCUCUCAUGCGCACACCCGAGCGUUGCUGUCGCCGCCGAUCGCCGUAGCCGUGGCCACUGGCCACCGCACCCCCUGCCGACAUGCCCAUCGACUCCGUCGCGAGACCUCGCGCCUCCAAGCAGAAGAACGCAAGCCCGGACGGCCUUCUUCCCCGCCAACGCCGCCGUCCUCGACCUCGGGUGCCAGUGAUGCCCGCCGUCGAUUCGCCGGACCCCGUGCCUCCCCUGCCUCGCCAGCAGUACCAGAAGAACCGCGGUGAGCCGCUGCACCGUUUCCCCUAUGCCUUGUUGCCUAAUUCGCCCCUAGCCGCAGCAACCAUCGGAGCCGAGCGCUCCCCGCCGUCGGCCAUGUCGCCGCCGCGGUUGCAACACCCGCACGUCGCACCAGAGCACGUAGGCGUGCUCAGCGCUUCCUCAGGAAGCCACAGACCCCACCAGUUCGUCUCGAAACGCUCCGUAGCGCCGAACCCGCUGUUCCUAUAGCUCCGGCCACCGCCAUGGUUGCCAUGGCCAUCGUCUUCGUCCACCCCGCAGCCUCCCGCGUGAUCCCCUGGAUGCGCGCGAGGAUGGGCAUCCCUCUGGUGCCUCCAGCGCGUCGAGCCGACCCCUGUAGCGCCGUCCCGGGCAACUCCGGUGAUCCUCCGCCGUCGGGUUUGGUCGCCGGCGUCCAACUCCGGUGGCUGGUGACGUGGCACCGUCAUUAGCGCCUAACUAACCCCCUAGAGUCACUGACAUAUGGGCCCAGGCCUUAACUAAACUAGAUUAGGUUUAGUUUAAUUUUAAUUAGCCGUGUUAGAUAACUGUGUCAUUAACGUGUGGACCCCACAUGUCAGGUUUGACCUGGACCGAGCCGUUGACCUAUUGACAUCACUAUGA
rnacentral:lncRNA from 1 species